rnacentral:lncRNA from 1 species
AACCUGAAGUUCGAAAACGAAUAAUUCGUAUUUCCCAUAUAUAGAAACAAACCAUAGAUGGCAAUUAUUUCUACAAAGUUAGGUAAUUAUUACAGCGAUUUCAAUUCAGCCGCUUCCAACUUGAGCUCCUCAUCCUCUCGAACUGCCUCAGCAUCUUUGUCAAGAUAAGGUGAGGUCCACCGAUUAAAUUUCGAGACGCGGUAUGGAUCCGAGAACACAAAUUGCUCCGUGAGCCUACACAUCUCCACGUUCGCAGAGUACUUAGCAACUGAAACCACAGCACAACCCAUUGCAUAUCCGUCAGUCGUUAGUGCACGUGAAAACAUGAAAAACAAUUCAAAAAAACGUAAUUUGAUCAUUUGAAAAAAAAUUGAAAUUUGAUAUAUUUAUAGUGCGUACUAAUUAAUAUAUACUCAAAUGAAAAGUUGAGACGCAAACUCAAACUAGGCCUUGUUUACUUCCUAGAAAAUUUUGUAAAACUUUUCACAUUUUCCGUCACAUAGAAUCUUGCGACGCAUGCAUAGAACAUUAAAUAUAGAUAAAAAAAUAACUAAUUACAUAGUUUGUCUAUAAUUUGUGAGAUGAAUCUUUUGAGCCUAUUUAGUUUAUGAUUGGAUAAUAUUUGUCACAUACAAACAAAAAUACUACAGUACCUAUUUUCCAAAAUAUUUUAGAUCUAAACAAGGCCCUAGAAAUAUUCAUACGAAAAUGACAAAUUCUAGUGGACAUGCAUAUAAAAUUUGUGAUUUUCGUAUGAAUUUUUGAAAAGUGAGUUUGUCUCUCAACUUUUGCAUGUGAAUACAUAUUUAUAUGCACUAUGGAUGUACUAAAUUUUAGUUUUUUUUUGAACAACGGAAAUAAGAUUCUUGAAUUGGUUUUCAUAGGCAUGGCCACGUACCAACAAGUGGGAGCCAUCUCAACAGCAAUGAAGGGGCUCACCUCCUUUCUUAUGAUCCGUGGUGUUGUUAUAGAGGAGGGAGGUGAAGAAGAGCGUCUUGGCCAUGUAAUCGGACAUGUGGUCGGCGAGCAGCGGGUACUCGACGCCGGCGAUGAAGCCCUUGCGGAGGAUGAUGUGCGGGGGCUCGAUGUAACGCAUCGCCAUCAGCGACAUGGCCCGGUCCAAGUGGUACACCUCGGGGGUGUGCUCCGGGCACAGGCGGCCGUGCUCACGCAGCGUGGAGGCCUCGAAGUAGACGCGCUCCCGCGUCAUCGGCCACGAGUCCCCCACGGAGCGCACGUACGGGAGCGCCUGCGUGUUCCAGGUUCGCCCGCGCCGUGAGGUCAGGUGAGAGGGAAGCUAGGACGAGGAGGCGGGGCGGACACUCGAUCGUACCUGUUUGACGACGAUCGCGCCAGCUUCGGACCGCACGAUGUAGACGAAGUUGACGUUGCCGUCGCCGACCUCCUUGAUCUCGAGGGAGUCCAGGCUGCCGCCGCCGAGGCGGGAGGCGAGCGCCGGCGUGGUCUUGAUGUAGGCGACUAAGGACGCCUCGUCCAGCGGGCGGAAGCCUUGCUCCGCCUCCGCGGUCAUGGCUGAGGCUGACUGCCACUCGGGCGGUGAGGGCGCCGGCGGGUGGGUGGGGGGGGGGGGGGGGGGGGGGGGGGGGAAUCUGCCAAUUGCGGUGUGUGGUGGUGGGGUUUAUGAGGAGAAGAGAGCAUUCUGAAUGUGUGAUAUCAAUCACAACAGCACUGCCUUGCGGACUUUUGGGAGUGAGACACAGACAAACCAAAUGCAAACGGGCAGCUCUUUUUCGGUGAAGUGAAUUUAUACUUAGGCCCUGUUUGGUUCCACCAACUAAAUUUUAGCUACUCUUGGGUGACUAAUGGAACUAAACUAUUUUAACUACUUUUAGUCAAUGUGUUUGGAACUUUAGCUACUAAAGUGACUAAAGUUUAACUAACUAAAAUUUAGUUGGUGGAACCAAACAGGGCCUUAAUCUAUAUCUGUAUCUACUUUUUUAACAACAAGUUUGACCACUCGUCUUCUUCAAAAAUUUAUGCAAAAUAUGACUUCUUUCAUUGUGGUUUGAUUUAUUAAUAAAAUUUUUCUAAGAAUAACUUAAAUUUAACUAUGUUUAUAUAAAUUUUUUGAAUAAAAGAAUGGUCAAACUUGAGGUAAAAAAAGUCAAACGUAUUAUAAUUUGAAACGGAGGAAGUAUUAAUUAAAGAUAGGGAGAAUUGGCUGUGGGACAUGUAGAAUGGUGGCCAUUUGCCAGCGGACAUUAGAAAAAAUUAGAUUGCUCAAAGACACUUCGUUUCUUGUCAAAUUUGCUGGCGGACACUAUGUCUAAUCAAACAUUAUUGCAAAAUAGAUAUAAAAUCAUAUAAGUGCUAGAAAAUUAUACUAUAAAUUUUUUUACACUCUACAUGUUGAGAACUAUACUGUAAAAAUAUUGUUUUGCACUAAAAUGACCAUUUUGCCCCUCUUCAUAAAUAGACAAAGAUAACCAUGGUUAAUUAGUUAAUAUAUUAGUAAGAUACUAAAAAUACUAAACAAUAUUUUUACACUAUAGUUCUCAUCAUGUGGAGUGUAAAAAAAUUAUAGUAUAAUUUUCUAGCACUUAUAUGAUUUUAUAUCUAUUUUGCAAUAAUGUUUGAUUAGACGUAGUGUCCGCCAGCAAAUUUAACAAGAAAUAGAGUGUUUUUGAGCAAUCUAAUUUUUCCUAGCGUUCGCCGGCAAAUAGCCACCAUUCUGCAUGUCCCACAGCCAAUUCUCCCUUAAAGAUAUGUUUGGAACAUAUAUAGGAUUGAAAAACGUAGAAAUCAGAAAAACACAAGUAAAAUAUGUAAUAAAAAACAGAAAUUUUAUAGGAAAAUUUGUUAUUUUUUUACAAUAAAGGAAAAGUUAGCCUUAGGAAAAACACAAGGACGAGCUACGCUUCUCAGGGCCGAAGCUCCUCACUCCUCUUGUGCGAUACAUGUUGCAGAUGUAUUUAUGUGAUAUUGUAACACAUGAUGUCUGAUGCUUUGCCAUUCGAUUUCUAAUGAUUCACUCUGUUGUAGUAGAUGUAAAGUUUAGGAUUUAGGGUUUAGGGUUUAGGGUAGGGUUUAGGGUUUAGGGUUAACUAAGAGCAUCUCCAAAGGCUUUGGCAAAUUGAUUUGACAUUUGUUGCUAUUUGCAAACUGCCAUAACAAAAUGCAAAGGAUAAAAAUAGGUCAUCUCCAAGGAAAUUGUCAUUUAGACUUAGCAAAGGAUAAAAAUAGAAGAUCUCCAGGCGCGCGUGCUUUCCUCGUGCGUGACUUUGCUUGCGCGAUCGGGUUUGCAAAGUCGUCCACAGUUUGGCAUUUUUGCCAAGUUUGCUCCCCCAUUUGCCAUGUUGCCCAAAUUGCAAACUCCAAAUGCAAAACCGUUGGAUACCUUUUUUGGAUCUUUUUAGCAAAUUACUCAAAUGCAAAACCCUUAGAAAUGCUCUAAUAUUCCUUCGUGUUGAUUUUGUUGCCAUGACCUCUUUUGAGAAUGUUGCAUUGCAUCGCAUAAUCAGUGGAUUUUGAUAUGUUCUCAUCGAGAUGGAGAUGAGUAUCUUUUUAUAUGCCGCAACAACUAUAACUAGAUGCACCAAUAAUUACGUUGAUUUUUUUGCAAUGACUUUUUUUGUUUGGAUGUCAUUGUUUUGUUUCGAUCAAGAUAGAGAUGGAGAUCAAAAAUCUUUUUUAAUGUUGCAAUCGCAUGUUUUCGAUGGUGCACCAAACGAUUUAGUUUCUUUAAAUCAACUCCAUCUCUACUUUGUUGCCGCAUUCUUCUCCUCUUAAGAUGACAGUUGUUGCAACAAGUGUGUUUUCAUGUUGUAACUGUCUGAGUAUUUUCGUUGGACUUUUUGGACUCUUUACUGCAAGAACUGGAUAUCAUUGCAUUCGACUUGGUAAGCUCAUUGCGAUAUUCAGAAAUAUCUACAUGGACUCUUAUCUAAUAAGAGAGGAAAGAAAAAAUAAUCUACAUGUACUAUAAUCAGAAACAAAAGGAGAAAAAAAAAAGACAGCAACAUGUGUUAUUGGUAUCCUAGUAUAAGGACAUGUUUAGGCCUCGUUCGUUUGGCCUGGCUUUGAGGGUAGAACUAUUCCAGCUAAUACAUGUUAAAUUGUUAAUACAAAUAAGCUUAUGGUUCCAGUUGAAAUAGUUCCAGUUCCAGGGCAACCAAUACACAAUAAAUGAACAAGCCCAUUUUUCAGGGCUUCAUUCCCCUUCAAACAAACGGCACUCCUUCGCUGGCUCCGAUACUGCUGUAGUGAAUCCGGUCGGAGCCCCAAACCUACAGUUCUUCCCGUGCUACAGUGAGGUAUAAUACUGUGCGCUACAGUUCACUGAUGUCCAAAGAAAACAACAUUAAGAGUUUAAGACGAUUGAAUUGACAUUUUCAGACCUCAAUUUAGAGAUGUAAAUCCUCCUAGACGGCAUGGACGCCAACAGGUCUUAGUUACCAAGAUCAAGAUUACGAAGACAAUAACAAGGCAGUACUUGCCAAAGGACCAUCAUAACAAAAAUUAUUGGUAAAAUACAAGCAUCUAAAUGUACUGAGAUAGUCACGGAGAAAUCUCGUACAUUUCAUUAUUCAGAACCAAGGGGCCUAUGGCAGAAUAAGAUCUUACUCUGGUAGUGUACACAGUCCAAACUAUCAGACCACAAAUGGGCACCUUUUCAUCAUAUAAUCUCAAUACAGAAAACACAAACAACCGGUGCUUCAAAACAGACGAUUCACCGAUACUCAGGUAUGUGUGGGUUAAUUGACGAAAGUAUGUCUCCUUAAGCGCAAAAAUAGACUGCCGCCUUCUCAGUCCUGGUCAAACGAUUGAAUAUGCUCAAUGACUUGCUCGAUGGUCUCAAAUUGGCGUCUUCCCUUGAGGAUCUCCUUUGCACAACUGAGGGCAGCACGCUCGCACUCUGCUCUCUUGCUGGCAUCCUUAAUUGACUCGAGAUCCUCGACGUGAGCGAUUCCAACUAUUCGCCUGUAUAAGGAAGAACCAAAUUUUGGAAACAAUAUUCAGGUGGGAAUGCAAAACAAAAAUAAUAUAUGUAUGCUUAGAGUUUGAAGCUCGUGUUAAAAUGUGCCUUAUAGUCCUUGUGAAAAAGCAUUUUCAUUUGGAAAAGUAACGAGCAAACAUUUUUGAAAAUUCUAUAUACUUUUUUCACUGCACAGCAUGCCUAAACAGCGUGAAACAUAACCCUUUUUUUACUUAACUCGCUUUCAUCAAAGCUGACUCCAGAAAAGUAUGGUUUUAUGACGCACACUUGCACAAAAAAAAAGAUACUGCAUCAAAACUAAAAUCCAAAAUAUUUUUAUUAUUUGGCUUCAGUAUGGUUUUGUCGUUUCAGUCAAAAAGCCAGUUAUUAUAUCUCAUAGCAGUCUGUUAGCAAGAAAAAGUGUUUUUAUUUAGAAAUAUUCUCUUUAAGAAAAAACAUUAUUCACAAAUCUAAUCUGCAGUUACCUGAUCAUUUUGGCUGAACCAAACCCAAGACUAUCAUGGAAUAGGUUUGUCAUGUACUUCUUCUGAGCAACGCUCACAAGCUUUGAGUUGUUGUAUAUAUCAGGCAGGUAUGCCUCCCCAUUCCCUUCUUUGUGUUUAUUCCAUAGUUCAACAAACUUUUUCUGGAACAAAUUCCAAGACUCUUCAAUUGUCUUCAAGAUCCAUUUCUUGUAAGCCUGCAAAAGAUAGGGAACACUAAGUUCAUGCGCAGAACAACAUAAAAAUAAAUUUUGAAUGCUGCAUGCUGAAGCAGCAUGCUCUAUGAUAAACUGACACAGCCAUUAAGUAACGUUACUACUGAAGAUCCCAUCAAUCAUUAAGUUAUCCAACGCAAAGACAUAUUUUGGGCCGCUAUAUUUUUGUCUGCCAAGUACUAUCCUCUUUAUGCUAAACAUGACCACUUUGAUUACCCCCAGGUAUCAGAAAAAUCACUAUUUCUCAUACAAGGCAUUAGCAUCAUAUUCCAAGCAUAUAUCCAUCAGAAAAGUAGACCCAAAGUAGACUCCGAAGACAUUUGGCUGACACUAACCAUAGUAACUCAGAAACAAGCAAAACUACACAAAGCAACCCAACUGCGUUUGACACCAAGAUAACAUAAAAAGGAGAGAAGAAUUUGGUAUGGACAGAAGCCAAGUACAUGUAUGAGUAAACCAUGUAUUAAUACUACUACUGGAGUUACAAAAGGGUGCAAAAUUAACGAGUUAACAGAUUCAUUCAUACAUACCUUACGAUCGUUUGCUUGAUCAGCAUGUCCAUUCUGUGCGUAGUAUGCCAAAAUCAGGUUUCCAAGGAAGGCUCCAAUGUCAAAACCCAUUGGCCCAUAGAACCCAAACUCUGGAUCAAUGACUUGAGUUGAACCUGUGGUCACCAUGAUAGAACCAGUGUGGAGAUCUCCAUGAAUCAGAGCCUGAGCUCUCUCGAUAAACCUGCAGUUGGAAAUCAAAUAAGUCACAUUUGCCAUGUACAGAAACAAACCUAGGUGCCAAUUAUCUCUAUUCAUAUUCGUUGAGGUCAUUACAUCGAUUUCAGUCCAGCUACUUCCAACUUGAGCUCGUCAUCCUGUCGAACUGCCUCAGCAUCUUUGUCAAGAUAAGGCGAGGUCCACCGAUUAAAUUUGGAGACACGGUAUGGGUCGGAGAACACAACUUGCUCCGUGAGCCUACACAUCUCCACAUUCGCAGAGUACUUAGC